GUUCAGUGAUGUAUUAACAAAUGUCUGACCUGAACUCUAAUGUGGACCAUAUCUGUUACUGAGGAA
ensembl:snoRNA